GUAGGUGAACCUGCGGAAGGAUCAUUAACACGUAUCCACGUUAAUCACCCGAGAACUUACUUAGGACUAGCUGAGGAGCAAGUAAAAAGCUUCGGCUUCGGCCCCUUUUCCUUUCUUUCGGGAAGGGAUCAAAGGUGGACAUUGAACCUCAGCUUCCUAAGCUGGUCUUCACCUCUUCGGAGGUGAAGACCAACAAGAACCUUGCGAGGGUCUUUCGAGACUCCUCAAAGGGUUCUUGACGAGUAAACCC
rnacentral:misc_RNA from 1 species